UCGGACACACCAUAUAAAAAGCGGCUCCUCCAGGCAUCUCCCAACCACUCAUCUUCCUUUCUGCUUCACAUAGGACAAGAUCCACCUCUAACCUCCAAAGAUGUCUUCUACCCGUGGUGGAGCAGCAUGGAACCAGUGCUACGCCAGCUGCCCGGCAUCAACAGUGACCAUCCAGCCACCACCCUUCGUCCUGACUAUCCCAGGGCCUGCUCUCUAUUGCCCUGACCAGCCAUUCCAGAUUGAGCAACACAACCCAUGUGCCAACGUCCUCCAUGGUUCUAGCGGAGGCAGCAACAGAUCUCUGUAUGCUAGCAACACCAACUUCUACACUCAGGCCCUGCCAAGCAGCAACUACAGCUACUGCUCCAACCGAUCAUGUUAUUAGACCAAGACAAAACAGCGACCGCAUGGGAGGGGACAGGCGCAAGAUGCCAACAGCGCCACGGAAGAAGUUGCCACUUCUGUUGAGAAUGUCGAAUGUCCACCAUCACAUCUGGAGCCAACCUGUUGAGUCCUUGAAAGACAAUGCAUGUCUGCUUCUGCUUAUGUUUUUCACAUGUGUGGGUGGCUCUUUUCUAUUGAUCAGUAUUACAUCUCUCUUACCUAUUUCCCUCAUUGAAAAGCCUUGUACACUGCUUUUGUGGUGUACGUGGUGACUCUCGGGGAAGAACGCACAUCUGGACCCAAAUCCAGAGGUUCAGAAUGACAUGUGCAUAUGCUAUCCCUACUAUGGGGAGAUGCAUGUGCUGUUUGUCAUUACCGAACGUGGCUUUGGGGCUGGGCGCUGGAUCUUCCAGUCUAGAUGCAUACAAGAAGCCACUGGUAGAGGUGCAUGGUCCCUUCUUUGCCACUGGCCAUUUCUCCCUGGUUACCAGCACAUCGAAACUGCACUGUCUUUCAUGAUGUUCCACUUGGUUUAUGUCAUUCCCUCCGUGUGUUCAUUGGAAAGAAGGUCCUCUAGAACAUGACACCUACUAUUCUAUGAGCUCUGUGCACUCUCAGCUGGGCUCAUCAUUCAUGCCCAUUUGCUUUCACAUUAAAACUCAAGUUGCAUCCCA